rnacentral:lncRNA from 1 species
UUAAGGGGGCAAGGGGCGCAAAAACUGUCUAAUAGUCUCACACAUGAGAGAGAGAGAGAGAGAGAGAUCGAAGCAUAACUGAUCCAGUACUGCCCAUACGUACGCAUUCUUGCCAAAAACAAACCCAUCCCAGAUCCUUAAUUAGAUCUCUCUUUUCUUUUUCUUACUCAAAAUCCAACCCUAAUAACCCCCUAGCUAGCUACGAACAAUAUAUACAUAGAGAGAUCCAGAUUAACCCAAAACCCUCCUUAUCCUUCUCCUCCUCCUUAAUUUUUCCAAGUCUCAAAACCUUAAAUAUGUAGAAACCCCUGGAUCUUACUUUGUAGUCGGAUCACAUCAGAGGCUAAAUAUCCCUAGCUAAGCUAGCAAAAUUAAAGCUAGAAGAGAGGAGAGAUCAGAAAGAAAGAGAAAUAUACAGUCUUUUAGCUAAUUCCAUCCUAUUAUCUUCUAUCUAUUUGUCA